GGCGGGGUAGCUCAGUUGGUUAGAGCAGCGGAAUCAUAAUCCGCGUGUCGGGGGUUCAAGUCCCUCUCCCGCUA
rfam:Aurantimonas sp. Leaf443 contig_1, whole genome shotgun sequence.